rnacentral:rRNA from 1 species
AUUGAACGCUGGCGGCAGGCCUAACACAUGCAAGUCGAGCGGAUGAAGGGAGCUUGCUCCUGGAUUCAGCGGCGGACGGGUGAGUAAUGCCUAGGAAUCUGCCUGGUAGUGGGGGAUAACGUCCGGAAACGGGCGCCAAUACCGCAUACGUCCUGAGGGAGAAAGUGGGGGAUCUUCGGACCUCACGCUAUCAGAUGAGCCUAGGUCGGAUUAGCUAGUUGGUGGGUAAAGGCCUACCAAGGCGACGAUCCGUAACUGGUCUGAGAGGAUGAUCAGUCACACUGGAACUGAGACACGGUCCAGACUCCUACGGGAGGCAGCAGUGGGGAAUAUUGGACAAUGGGCGAAAGCCUGAUCCAGCCAUGCCGCGUGUGUGAAGAAGGUCUUCGGAUUGUAAAGCACUUUAAGUUGGGAGGAAGGGCAGUAAGUUAAUACCUUGCUGUUUUGACGUUACCAACAGAAUAAGCACCGGCUAACUUCGUG